CCUACGGGCGGCAGCAGUGAGGAAUAUUGGUCAAUGGGCGGGAGCCUGAACCAGCCAAGCCGCGUGAGGGAAGAAGGUACAGCGUAUCGUAAACCUCUUUUGUCAGGGAACAAAGGCGGGGACUAGUCCCCGGAUGAGGGUACCUGAAGAAAAAGCAUCGGCUAACUCCGUGCCAGCAGCCGCGGUAAUACGGAGGAUGCGAGCGUUAUCCGGAUUUAUUGGGUUUAAAGGGUGCGCAGGCGGCCGGGUAAGUCAGCGGGAAAAGCCCGGGGCUCAACCCCGGCGAGCCGUUGAAACUGGCGGGCUGGAGUUGGAGAGAAGUACGCGGAAUGCGCGGUGUAGCGGUGAAAUGCUUAGAUAUCGCGCAGAACCCCGAUUGCGAAGGCAGCGUACCGGCUCCACACUGACGCUGAGGCACGAAAGCGUGGGUAUCGAACAGGAUUAGAUACCCGAGUAGUC
rnacentral:rRNA from 1 species